AGCAUGCUCAAGCGGCAGUCGAUAUCCGCGCUUAUAAACCAAGGGUCGUUACAGUAUAAGUAAUUUGCUCGAACAGACGAAAAAGAAAAAAAUCGCCGAACACCAAAAAUAACAUAAACGUCACAAAAUGUCGUCAUAAUAUAUGCGCGACCUGUUUCGACUGGGAAGCAUACGCUCCAGAUGACAAACUCCAAGGGAGUGUGUGUGCAUGUUGUAUUUUCUUUUUCCUUGUCAGCCACCAUCUCUCCUAACCAUGACCUCUCCACCAACUGACAAUAAACAUAUUAGCCUGCCACUCCUGGGAACCCUUUUCACAUGUGAGUGUUGUUGAGGCCCCAUUUCAGCUCCAGAUGACAAAAACCUGCACACACUCCCAGAGAGUUGCAGUCUUGAUAGGCCCAGUGUAUGCACUUCUGGGUGAGGCUGUUGGGCAGUGGUGGAGUGCAUGGCAGAUCUGAAAGAGAGAUGCACAAAGUGACACUAUGGAAGCCUGACCUGCUCAAGGCUCACCGGAGGUACUACCUUGUCCCAGACCCGCUGUUUGAUCCUGUCUAUCUACCGUACCUGUCUCAACCUCUAAAUGCUCAGCUAUGAAGAGCCAACUGGCAUUUACUCCUGAGGUGCUGAACUAUUGCACCCUCUACUAUUUGACACUGCUGGUCAUCUAUGAACAUUUAAACCUCUUGAAGAAUAAUCUUGCCUAAAUGGCUGUACUCUUUUAUAAUCUCCACCAGCACAACCAGAAGAGGACUGGCCACCCCUCGGAGGCUGGUCCCUCUCUAGGUUUCUGCCUUUCUAGGGAGUUUUUUCUAGAUACUGUGCUUCUAUGUCUGCGUUGCUUGCUCUUUGGGGUUUUAGGCUGGGUAUCUGUAUAAGCUCUUUGUGACAACUGCUGAUGUAAAAGGGGCUUUCUAAAAUACAUUUGAUAGAUUGCUUGUA